rnacentral:rRNA from 1 species
UACGGGGGGGGCAAGCGUUGUUCGGAAUUACUGGGCGUAAAGGGCUCGUAGGCGGCCAACUAAGUCAGACGUGAAAUCCCUCGGCUUAACCGGGGAACUGCGUCUGAUACUGGAUGGCUGGAGUUUGGGAGAGGGAUGCGGAAUUCCAGGUGUAGCGGUGAAAUGCGCAGAUAUCAGGAGGAACACCGGUGGCGAAGGCGGAUCUCUGGGCCAUUACUGACGCUGAGGAGCGAAAGCGUGGGGAGCGAACAGG